GGUCUCGUAGCUCAGCUGGAUAGAGCAACAGCCUUCUAAGCUGUCGGUCCCGCGUUCGAAUCGCGGCGAGAUCA
rnacentral:tRNA from 2 species